UUGGUCCUUACUAAGGUAAGGUCCCUCAAACAAGUUGGUCCUUCAAGGAGCUGGUCCUUGCCAAGGUGGUCCUUCAAAGGUGUCGGUCCUUAGCACGGUGGUCCCUCAAAACCUUGGGAUGAAAGAGCCACCACUUCUCCAGGAUUUGCUCCCCAGGGUUGUGCGCUGCCUGUUCCUUCCCUGGAGAUCCAAACUCCCGUUCCAGAGGAGACCCUGAGGCUCUGACCUGGAAUUGCUGGAGCUGGUGCACCCCAUGUGCCCAACUCCAUCCCAUCAGAUGUCUCCAUGGUUCUUGGAUGUUCUCCAUCAUCUUCUGGAUGUCCUCCACCAGCUUCUGGAUGUCCUCCAUCAUCUUCUGGAUGUCCUCCAUCCAUCCCUUCCUCUCCAGGGAAAGGCUACAGGGCUUCCAAAAAACAGGUGAUGACCCCAUCCAUGAGGAUAAAUCCCACCUGGAGAACUUCCAGACUUCCUGGAAGAUGGAAUUGGGUGCCAUCAGGAAGGAGACCCUGGACAUGGACCUGGGAAACAGAAAUCAUCUGGAAAAUUCCCUUUUUGUCCAUGGGAAUCGGUGGAGCAGCAGAAGAAGAUUCCUGAAGCACAGGAGAAGGUCCAAACCCAAAGCUGGAGAGCUCCAGGUCCACUCUGGAUCUUCACGCCAGGAGAAAAAGCUGCCACCGUUGGUGAUCCCACACCUUCUUCACAAGAUGUGGUGGGAAUCUUCUCCGCUCCCCAGAGGUUCCUGCCCUGGUGGUCCCAUCUGCUGUCCUCGACCUCAGGGACACCACGGUGGUGGGACACCAACAACGGUUUCCCAGAGAAGCUUUGGCUGCCCCAUCCCUGGAAUUGUCCAGGUUGGACAGGGCUUGGAGAAACCUGGGAUCAUGGAAGGUGUCCCCGGCCACCGGAACAGGAGGACCUUGAAGGUCCCUCCCAUGGUCACGGUUGGUUGUCACCAUGGAGUGUCCCCACAUCCCAGCCCCACCCAGGUGGCCCCAGGACCUUCUCCCUGGAGGAUUCCUGAGUUCCUGAGGUGGCACCACGGCCACCCCAUGGGCCAGGCAGGAGGUCACGGCCAUUUGAGGUGACACCCGAUGGUNNNNNNNNNNNNNNNNNNNNNNNNNNNN
rnacentral:lncRNA from 1 species